rfam:Pseudorhodobacter antarcticus strain CGMCC 1.10836 genome assembly, contig: Ga0079835_1056
CCUGCGCGACAGGGGCGUCCGGGGAUCCGGGCUGAGAAGCACCCUUUGAACCUGAACCAGAUAAUGCUGGCGUAGGGAGUCUGCGGUAGAUGCCC